CUUGCAGGCCAGGCCCUUUCCCAGUACCCAUCGACACAGACUGAAGACUGGCAGGAGACAGGCCUCAGACCUGUAAUUCUGGGAGUUCCAUGGAAGGCUUGGUCAGAUACGCCCAGCUGGGAACACUUGGUACACAGUGAAGAGGCCCAUGAGUUCUACCCUCCAGGCACAGUGGCACUCGGAGCCUCAGAAUGGUUCAAUAGGAACAGCCCCAGAACCAUUCUUCUUCAGCACAGAUCUAGCCAGGCCAUCCCCCGACUCAACUGCUCCAACAGCUCCAACAGCUCCCAGCCCAAGCUCCGUUCCCUGCACCAACUGCCCCACCUUGCCUCCUGGACCUGCUUGCCCCACGGCUACAUGCUGCACAGCGCAGCCUCCUUUAUUGCUGCCCUGCCAGAGAGGCCUGCCUGGCAUCCUCCCCUCCUGGAUCACUGUCCUGUGCUCCUUGAAGGGAGGCCCUGGGCAGAGGCCAUGGCCCACCUGCAGGUCUGCCCAACUGCUCUGCAUACUAUGGGAGAAAGAACAAAACAAGGACCCUUUUCACUUGCUACCAAGACCAGGAAGUUCCUCCUCACACCUGCUGUGCCAGGCUGGACUACUGGCUCUGACCACUGCCUAGGCUGCAAGAUUACCCAGGCCCCUGCCAAGUGGCCAAGGGCCCUCUGCCAGAGGAGCUUCCCUUGGGAGCCCUCACCCAGCUAAGGCCCACUUUCUUCCUAAAACUGGUGCAUGGGUAGAUGGGAAGCGGGUGGGAGAGGCAUGUGAACUGGGGAACAACAGCUUUUCACUCCCCUCACCCACCACAAUGGUCAGCUUGCAGGAUCCACCAAUCAAGGGUUACACUAUACCAUAUGCAACAAUGAACUAAAAAUGGAGCAGAUACUUCAAUGCAAGAACAAAAGCUAUAAAAUGCAUGGAAGACCAAGGAUAAAAGCCCCAUAACACUGGAUUUAGCAACCACUUCUUGGAUAUGACACCAAAAGCACAAGCAACAACAACAAAAUAAACUAGACUUCAUCAAAAUUGAACCUUUGUAUAUCUAAGGACACUAACAAGAGAGUGAAAAGGUAACCCAGGGAAAGGAAGGGAAUACUUGAAAAUCACAUAGCUGAUAUCUAGAAUAAAGAGCUCCUAAAACUUAACAACAAAAAACAAAAAUAGACAAAGGAUGUGAAUAUACAUUUCUCCAAAGGAGAUAUACAAAUGGCCAAGACACACAUAAAAAGGUGCUUGACACGUUUUGUCAUUAGAAUAUGCAAGUCACCUAGCACUUCAGAAGGCCAAAGUAGAAUAGCUUGAGGCCAGAAGUUUGAGACCAACCUGGGCAAGAUAAUGAAACCUCAUCUCUAAAAAAAUAAAAAAAAAAAAACAAAUAGCCAGGUGUAGUGUUUCUACAGUCCCAGUAUACACAGGAGCAAGGAGGAUCCCUUGAGCCCAGGAGUUUGAGGUUGCAGUGAGCUGUGAUGGCACCACUGUACUUCAACCUGGGCAAAAGAGUGAGACCCUGUCUCUUAAGGAAAAAAAAAAAAAAAGAAAGAAAAGAAAAUGCAAAUCAAAUCAGCCAAGUCACACUCACUAGGGUAGAAAUUAUUUAAAAAAAAAAACCAGAAAACUACAAGUGUUGGUGAGGACAUGGAACAACUGGAACCAUGGUACAGCCAAUCUGAACAGCAGUAUGGAGCAUCCUCAAAAAAUUAAACCGGAUUUUAUAGAUUUGCUGUUUCAUUCAGCAAUUCCACUUGUAGGUAUAUACCCAGAGGAAUUGAAUGUAGGGACUCAAGCAGAUAUUUGUACAUCCAUGUUCCAUGGCAGCAUUAUUCACAAUAGUCAAGAGGUGGAAGCAACUCCAGUGUCCACCAAUAGAUGGAAUGAAUAAACAAACUGUAGUAUGUACCUACACUACAAUAUAAUACAGCCAUAAAAUGAAAUAAAAUUUUGGUAUGUGCCAUUCUACAGAUGAAUCUUGAAAACAUUAUGCUAAGUGCAAUAAGCCAGUCACAAAAGGACAGAUAUUGUAUGAUUCUACUUACGUGAGGUACCCAAAGUAGUCAAAUUCAUAGAGAGUAGAAUGGUGGUUGCCAGGGUGAGAACAGGUACUGCCAAACUUCUUUUUUAAAAUUUUGUACAUGACCUAUACCCCAGCUACUUCUCUCUGAUAUUUCUGUACCUGUCUUCAUAGAAAACAGACCCUUUAGGGCUAUACUGCUAGUGAUGGACUCAGAUGGGGAGGGCAGCAGGGAUGCCAGUCAGUGAAGGAAGAGACUGCAGGACAGGCCAGGAGCUGUCUGCAAGAGCAGUCCCAAGUUCCCACCCCCAGGGCAUGAAACAGUUCCAGCCCCAACCCAGAGGAGUCCCCAAGUGGACAGCUCCCAAAGCUCAUGGGAGCUAGUGAGACCUCAAGUUCCAUCCCAGCUGUCUGAGUUAGGAGGGCCGCUGGGAGAGAGCUCAGAACUGAGAACACCUCAUUGGCCUCCUGUGGCCAGGAAGAAAGGACAGAGUAAAUUUGCUAUGUCACCAGCAGAAAUGCCCAGCCUCUCCCAAGGCCCAUGUGCCUCUGAGUGGGGAUGGGACACCAUACAUGCACAGCCUCAGAGCUGCCCCAUCCUCCCCCCACCUAGUGCCACUGGCUGCCCUGAAAUGCCUUUGUCCAGAGGCACCAACCCACAGCCAAGUUACAGCCCUGUCCUCAGGAGGCUAUCCUCCUCCUGCAGAGCUGGGCUCCCCUUAAAAGGGAAGAGGGGAGGAGUCUGAGAAUAAGUGGAACUCAGUUCAUCAGAGCGAUGAACCAUGCAGAGGGUCCUGAGUGAGCCCCACAGGAGCAGACAGCAGGAGCCAGGGCUGUUCCACAUAUAGAGAACAGAAACCACCAGGGAGGGGCUAGGGCUAUGGGGCAGGACCACCAUCCCCCAAAUCUUUUAACUCCAUGGCAUCCACUGGACAUCAGGCUUGGGAUCACAGUGAUGAGGAAGACAUGGAGCCUGCCACAGACUUCAUGAUCCGGGAGGAAAAGACACAACCGCUGAGAGAUGAGCACUUGUGGGAUGCAGGGGCAAGGAGGCCUGGUUUGGAAGAUUCAGAUCUCUUAAGGUGGCUCCAGACACAAGACUUGAGACUUGUCCUGGGAGAUCCCGACAGAAAGAGCUAGGUCCAUGGAGCAGGAGGGCAGAGAUAAGAGUUCAGCUGGAGACAAGAAAGGGGGGUUACCCAGGCCUUUCACCAAACACGUUCUGUCCAACAAGUGUGAGGUGCAUUGCUGCCACUGCAUACACAGGGACACCAGCUGGACAAGCGCAGCAGCAUGCCUAAGGUGGACCACGCUGCCCGCAGCCCCCGCACACCUGGUGAACAUUAUUAUUUACCCAGCAACUGCUCUGUGCAGUGCCAAUGACCAUCAUGUGACAAUGAACAAAACUGAUGAAACCUGGUCUGGACGGCUGCCCUUCCAGAGCAGUCAGGCAAGCUCCACAAAUAGCAGGGUGGGUAGCAUGCCACAAAGUGGGGAAUGGCCUCAGUGAGAAACCUGCAGACACAGUAGGAGAGGCCUUCUGGGGACAGAGUGAGUGAGCAGUGCUGGGGAAGGUGACCCCGCUCGAGGGAGCCUGGGCACGGGUCUGACCAGACAUCACACUCAGGAAGUUAGGAGGCUGCCUGACAGCCAAGUCAGUUUGCAGUUCCUACUUGGUCCUGCUGCCUUUGUUUAACAGGCAGAAGAGUAUGAACAAGUCCUACAACUAUAGAACACGUGGUCCUGAGAGGGACGCCAGCUUCAGCCUCCAUAGCUGUUCCCCAGCACAGUCUCUCAGGUGUCACCUGUUGCCAGGUCUCCCUCCUCAACAGAAGCAGAAAACAGAGCCCCCUGGACACAUGGGCCAGCAGGCAGAUGCCCAGGCCACAGGGAAGAUGGUGGAAAGCCCCUGGCAAGGCUCCUGUCAUGGCCUGAGCCCCCACUUCCUAGCUUUCCUCUCAUGACCUGGGCCCCCAGGCCUGCCUCAGGAUAUCUGCCAGGGGCCUCCAUGGCCAGGGUGCUGGUCAUCCCUGUCCUUAAGGGCAAGUCUACUGGCACCUCCUUUCCAGGUCUUUCUUGGAAACUUGGCCUAGAGUGGCUUCCUCUCUGAGUCACUAUGGUACUUUUUUAUUUUUAUCUUUUUCAAACUUUUUUUCUUGGUAUUGUUCCUUGUGGAGUAGGCACCCCCCACCCAUAGGCACUGUGCCUAGAGGAUUUUUUUUUUGUUUUUUAAACUUUUAAAAUAACCUUUUAAUUUCAGAAUAGAUUUAGAUUUACAGAAAAGUUGAGAAGAGAGCGUGAAGAGUUCUCCUAUACCCCUCACCCAGUUUACCCUGUUAUUAAGACCUUACCUCAGUGCAGUGCAUUUGCUACAAUAAAUAAACCAGUACUGACCUGUUAUUAACUAAAGCUCACACCUCAUUCAGCACAACUUGAUUCAGCUGACCUCAGCUUGCAUCUAUUAUCCUCUUCCUGCUCCAGGAUCCCACUCAGGACCUGCAUCACAUUAAGUGCCCUGUCCCAAGGUUCCUUUCAGCUAUGACAGUUUCUCAGACUUUCUGUGUUUGGGCGACCUUGAUGGUUUUGAGGAAUGCUGGUCAGGUGUGUUACAGAUUGCACUUCAAUUUGGGUUUGUCUGAUGUUGUUCUCAUGAUUAUACUGUGGUUGUAUGUUUUAGGACGGACAAUCACAGAGGUGACGUCCCCUUAUCUGCCCAUCCUUUAAGGCUUCAUGACUGAUCAUUGUUGAUGAUGAACUUGAGUGCCUGGCAGGGGUCAUGACUGUCAGUUUCUCUGCUGCAAAGCUCCUCCCCACCCCUGUGCUCUCUGGAAGGAAGUUACCACUCAAACGGAGUGGGGAGCUAUGGUCAUCUCCUUAAGGAGGAGUAGCUGCAUAAAUUACCUGGAAUUCUGCACAGGACAUUUUGUCUCUUCCUUUUUCUUUCUUUCUUUGCUAAAUCAUUUAUUUAUUUAGCAAAGAAAUAAAUAAUUAUUUCCUUCCCAUUUCUUUCUUUGCUAAAUCAUUUCCUUAUGCCAAUAUGAACUUGUGGCUAUUUUAUACUUUGGAUUAUAAUUUGUCUUAGUCUGUUUUGUGCUGCUAUAAAAGAAUACCCGAAGGUGGGUCAUCUACAAAGAAAAAAAGGGUUAUGUGGCUCACAAUUCUGGAUGGCUAAAAAUUUCAAGAUUGGCCAUCUCAUCGGGUGAGGCCCUUGCGCUGCUCUACUCACGGUGGAAGGCAAAUGGGCACCGGUGUGUGCAGAGAGCACAUGGCAAGAGAGGAGGGCGAGAGUGAGAAGGAAGCUGCCAGGCACUUUUUAACAACCAGUUCUCAAGGAAACUAACAGAGUAAAAAAUCCACUUGCACUCCUACCCAGGGCAUUGAACUACUCAUGAGGGAUCUUCCCUCAAGACCCAAACACCUCCCAUCUAGGCCCCACCUCCACACUGGGGAACAAAUUUCAACAUGAGAUUUGGAGGAGACAAACAUCUACACUACACCAUAAUCCAACAUUAAACUAUUUAUUUUGUUGCCCAAAUUGUUCCAUCUUUGGCCACUGGGGGCUUUUCAGCCAGCUUCUAUGUACCCCUGACCUACCGCCAUCUGCAUGUGCACCUGUACAGUCUCAAAGCACUUCCUGGCACUACAAGGUGCUUCAUGUACCUUUAGGGUAUAUUUCCUGUCCCAGCCCUAGAAUCAACCAUUUCUUCCAGAAGCCUUGGUUCACUUUUAUUGCGAAGUGCCAUUUAAAUUCAAGAUCUGGGUGACAGGUGAGCUCAUUGCUUUGCAGGCCUCAUGGCAUCAUCUUCUUCUUUUUUUUUUUUUUUUUAAGACAGAGUCUUACUGUGUUGCCCAGGCUGGAAUGCAGUGGUGCGAUCUCGGCUCACUGCAACCUUUGCCUCCUGGGUUCAAGCAAUUCUCCUGCCUUAGCCUCCUGAGUAGCUGGGACUAUGGGUGUGUGCCAACAAGCCCAGCUAAUUUUUGUCCUUUUAGCAGAGACGGGGUUUCACCAUAUUGGUCAGGCUGGUCUCAAACUUCUGACCUUGUGAUCUGCCUGCCUCGGCCUCCCAAAGUGUUAGGAUUACGGGCGUGAGCCACUGCUCCUGGCCAGGUCUCAAGGCUUCUAGUCCCUCUCCGCUAAUGGAUCAAGGAAACAAAAGUAUAUAUAACCUGUGUAUACCACAUAUCUAUAAUCACUUCUUUCUGUAUCCUUAAGUAUCUUUAUUAAAGUCUCUAUCAACCAAACACACUAGUACCUCUGUGGAUCACUCUAGCCUCCUUCCCUUGCCUACCUGUUCCUUGUCACUGCAUGUAGCAGUGGCUCCUGCCACCUGCUGUCCAUUUGCUUAACUGUUCAACCCCAGUACACACGCAUGGUGGUCUCAAAAGUGUCAGUACCCCUGUGGGAGAACUGCUUCCCCUUGAACACAGAGCCUAUAAAUGGCUCUUCUGGCCUCCAAGUUUGCAGAUUCCACUCCGCUAAAAAGGUGCACACUUCCUUUUACCCCACUGCCUGGAAGUCCCUCUGGUGAAUUCUCAGAGAAGAACUUGCCAUGGUGCUCUAUAUACCUAUGAGCUCAGCAGUGGGUAGAACAGAUUUUAGUUGAGUAUUUUAUACCUUCGCCAUGAGUUUUUGAGACCUUUUCAAGGCAUGUUUGGAUAAGAAAUGAGGGGAAAAACAGUGGCGAGGAUAAGGAGAGGACACAGAGGAAAAGGGAGAGAAGGGGGCUAAGGGCCCUUCAGCCUGUCUGGGUGCUUUCAAAAAUCUGUGGACCAGGGUCAGGGGAAGAAGUUGUGCUAGAGAAGAGGCAGCGCUGGCACACAGGCAGGCGGAGUGCUGCUGCUGGUGGCCUCAGAUGGAGCUUCCUGUGUCCCAGCCUGCCUGGUCUCCAAGUCCACCUGAGCCUGAGAGGGAGAGAGCACUGCUUUGCCACAUGGCAUAACUGCCUUUUCUGCCCAAAGGCCUGCCAGGCAGAUGUAGAGAAAGCAAGCUGUUUUUGCUACAGUAAGACUGAAAGCAAUGCAGCUAUGAGGCCCAUAACAUUCACCCAGCCCCAGCCCCAGCACCCUCCUGGUCACUCCUAGGGGAUCUAAAGCAGAGAAAAGCAACUUCAGGGGUCCCAGACCUCUCUAGAGGCUAGAGACAAAGGCCAGCUGGCUUAAAAUGGAAGGUUUUAAAGCUUAAAGCAAUGGUUCCAAACUUUUGCUGAAUAAUGGAAUCGCCUGGUAAGAUUUCAAAAUAGAGGUUCCAUGCCCAGAGACUCAGAUUUAAAUUCUCUGGGGUAGGGCUAGGGCAUAGGAAUUCUUAAAAGCUUCUUUAGUGUUUCUAAUGUCUAGCCAAGGCUGGGAACCACUGCCUCAAAGGGAAACCUUGGUCUCUAUUUGAUGCCAGAGGCUUGGCUCUGAUGGCUGUCUGUCCGUCCCAGCCUGGCUACCCAGCUGUACUAAGUCACUUACAGCUUUUUGAUGGGCCAAAGAGGGCCUGAUGAAAGCAAAGAAAAACAGAAAUGUGCAGACAAAAUGCAGCUGUAAAGAGCCUGCUGGCAGUGGGGGUGAAUGGACACACUAGAGCUAUGAUUUCAUUAAAUGCUUGGGGGCAGUACCCUGGAAGGCCAUGCCAGUCACAGGAAAGAAAACAAAACCUUCAGGCAGCCUGAGGGACAAGGCAGCAGGGAGGCCGUCCUUCUCCAGCAGGCCUAGGAAACAGGAAGAGGUGGUGCCUGUGUAAGGCAACUGCUCUGUCUACAGGGAAAUGGCCCUUGCAGGUGUGUGAGGUGGGAGAUGUGGAGAGAGCUCCAGGGAGGCCCCUGAGUAGUGAGCAGCCUCUGCAGCCCUGGCCCUAAGCUGGCACACCAUGGGCUCUCAUACAUGCACCUUCUUGCCAAACACUUUCAGACCCAGAGGGCAGCAGGCAGGCACAGAGGAAUCCACGCAAGCUGGAAGCCCAAAGGACUUCAAAUCACCUGCUGGGGAGAAACUCAAGAUUCCAAACCAGCCAGAGAGAUGGGAACUCAAGAAUGAGCUCAAGACACAACAGGAAUCUCUGGGUUUCCCCAGCCUUUAGGGUCUCAGACACAAAGGGGACAAAGGAGGGUAAGGAUGGCCCUUUAGCAGGUGAUGUGCAGGACCAGCCUGGGCCUGUGUGCCAAAUCCAUUUGAAUACAGGUCAGGCCACAGCCCUCCUUGCUGCCCGCCAGGACACUGGACUCCAGAGGAAGCUGCUAUGUGAGAUGAUGCAGAUGUCUGCCUGCCCAACAGCAUCAGGCUCACAAGGCACUUGCCAGCCCCAAAUCUUCUAAGGACAGGUCUUGUGCCCAAAUGCCAGAUACUGAAGCAACCUGAAUAGCACCCAGCCUCUGUCUGGCUCCUGCUCCCCACAUCUACCCGAACAUGGCAGCAGCCUCGAAGUCCCCGCCCUGCCCAGGAGCUGAGGUUCCUUCCUGAGGACUCAUGGGGUUUGUCACUGGGAGUAACUGAGCUUCCUGGCUGUAAGUCCAGAACCCUGGAAGAAGCACCCUGUUGUUCUCAGAACUGAUUCACAGAGAAAACCCACAAACACCAACACUGUCACUCUAAAGGCAGGAGCGGGGGCUAGAGCCCAUUAAAUCCUGACACUCUCCAGGCUACACUUUGAAAGGACAGGAGCAGGAGCUAAGAAUCAACCAAAUGUGUUGUAGAGAAAAUGUUCCUUGAGAAGGGGGUAUGACAUUAAGUUCCUCUUUGGCUUAUUUUCUGCUUCCAAAGACUUCCCAACCCAAUAAAAUAACUAUUAAGAACUGAGAUUGAGAUCCUCAGCCAGCAUUCCAGGAAGGCCAGCAUCUGGGAAAGAAGUCCUUAUCUUGGAUGCUCUCAUCUGCCUCUCUCCCACUGGGAAUUCCCAAUCUGCUUCUCAGAAAUCCAGCUUGUUAUGGGAGCUCUGUAUCAACAGUGAUGUUUGAACUUCCAUCCUUACAGCCUGCCACUCCCACCUUGUCCUUCCAAGGUUGAGAAUAGGUACAGUUGGUCAGUUAUGAUGGCACAGUGGCAAUUUCUUUCCACAUGUGGGUCUUUUUCCCUUGUGUUCAGCCCUGACCCACCCAUCUUCUGGGACUGACGUACCUUCCAGACUAAACAGCUCUCCAUCCCAGAUCUCUCCACUGGGUCUGGCCAGCCUUCACCGGUCAACACCAUUGAGGGACUCAAGAGGACCCGGUUUUGGAAGGAGGAGAGGGAACACUACAUGGAUCCUGCCUGGUGGGUAAAGUCCAGGUCUCAAAGAUCCCAAGCUCUGUGAAGGGUGGGCUCUGGGGUGCUCUUGGCACCCUCUCUCAGAAGUGGUGGAGGCCAACUAUCUUAAGAUCACAGAUGCUGCCCACACCAGGCUUGGCAUGUUUCUGCUGCUGCCUGCUCAGGAUAAAGUUCUCUGGGCAGAGGGGCUUCUACAAGUCGACCACAAAGGGUGAAGAAGCAGAAACACUGAGACAUGGCCACAGACUCACUAGAAAAGACCAAGAGUGUAGGAAUCAGUUUCCUUUCACCUGUUCAGUCACUCAGUGGACAGUGGGAUACUGGGCACCUCUGCUGUGUUGGGCACUGGCAGGGCUGAGAGAGACAUGGUGGUGAGCCCACCCCGUGUGUUGCAGCAACACUCUGCAGACACUUUGCCCUGGCCAAGCUCCCACGCCCACCUGGAGAUGCCGUGUUUCCUGAUCAUGGCACUGGCUACAAAGGUGUGGUCAGUCUGUGAAGCUUCAUCAAGCUGAACCUAUGAUGUGAAUGUUCUGUCUUAUGGCUUACCGCAAUAAAGUUUCUUUAAAAAGCCUCCUUUUGAGUGGUAGAUGUCCUAUAUGGGGUGGGAACGGCUAUUUUAAAGAUAAAAACCCUAAGCUGUAUUGAAAGGAAGGCCCUGCCUUGGCCAUCAGGCUGGUAAUGGCUGAGAUGGAAGUAGGGCCCAAAUCAGACCCCCUUCCCAUAGCCCUGGAGUCACACUGUUUUCAGCCCUUACUGGAAAGCAUCUCAUUAUAGAACUUCGGAUAAUCAGAGACAGCAUCUCUCACAAAACCACCGGUGAGUGAGUGCCUGCCCUUCUCUGCCUCAGUGGGCUGACUCAAUGGCAAAGGGACCCAUCCAUCUCUGAGGUGAGACCUUUCCUGUCUUGAGUGCCUCCAAGCCAAGGCGAACAGGGACCUCACCCCUACCCCCUUCUUACAGGGAGAGAGCAGUCCUGCCCCAGUUAAGAGGGGGAAUGGAGGGGUCCCACCCAGUUUCAAGACUGACUCCACAUCCCUAGGAGUGUGGGUGUAGAAAGAUGUAUGACCUCACAACAGCAAUGGGCAACCCUGGACUCCUAGGAGACUGUUGGCCAGGGAAGAACAAUGGGUGCUGACCAAGGCCUGCAGUGAAGAAGUCCAACAGCAUCCCUGUUGGGCCCUCAACCCAUACCACCAUACCACCAGGAGGAAGCAAUGCCCAUCCCAGGUUCCACUGAAUGGGAUUAGUGUCUACUUCAGGAUGAACAACAAAAGUCUAUUUGUAGGCUUCUGUGUGAGGUUUACAUAAACCUAAAGUGGGCUAACUGUGACAGGGAAGAUAGGAGAAAGUAGCAAACACACCCAGUGGAUACCUGGGACCACUCUACCAAAGCACCUGGAAGCAACAAGGCCCCUCUCAACUCCACCACAUGCCAACCCUCCCCAAACCAAGAAGAACCCCAACAGAGAAACCUGAACAAGUGCCCACACUGGGCCCCAGAGUGAGCUCAGGGCAAAAAUGAAGCAGGGGCUUAAGGACAAAGCUGGUGGCCCAUACCACUGAGCCAAAGGCCCACACUUUCGUGAAAGAUGGAAGGGAGACGGGAAGGGUGGGUGCUCCGAAGGGAGGCAAUGGCUCCCUGCAGCAAGCUAGCUGGCAUGGCACUGAAACCUCAUGGGUAGCUGAGAGGGAGGCAAGGAGAAGACGCAGUAGAAAGAAAACAAUCAGGGGUCUGCCUGUGACACAGGACAGGUAAUCAGCUAGCAGCCAGGGGCAGGUGACAGGGACAAAAGGAAGGACAGGGAAACAGUUCUGCCUUCGUGGCUCCUUACCUAGGCUUGAAUGCAACCUUGGACUGGUCAGCAGGAAAGAAGGAUGAAAGACAUAGCCACCCAGCCGGCAGGAACAACAAUCCUUGCCACCCACCUUCAUGCCACAUCUCCUUUACUGGUGCGACACAGAAGUAAUUCUCUAUCAGGAAAAGAAAAAUGUUCUGUUGGUUCACCAACAACUCACUCACAGCCAAAGGCUCUAUGCAGCAGCACCCCAUGGUCAUGCAGCCUGGUACACUGCUGUAUGCGCAUCCAGAAAAUAGUUGCUCACGUCCAUGAGCCACGGGGGCUGGGAUCAUGUUAGAUGAUGCAGGCACAUGAUCACAUAGCAGUGGGACAACUCGGACUCUCUAGUCACAGUUUUCCUCAUCUGUAUAAUGGAGUGGUUUCCUCACUUAUCAAAAGAUGGGUGAAUCCUACUACUUGGCGUUGGGACCCUGGUGCCUGGCUCCAGCAGGAAACUUCCAGCGGCCCACUCUUGACAGAAGCAGCGCAGAAAGGGCUUACGCCGCCCAUCUUCAGAGGAGAAAGAGGAUGCCAUGGGGAAUAUGGUGGAAAAAGCAACAAGAUGGUACAGGCAGUCAAACAAAGGAAGCCAGGCAGGGCUCAGGGAGAUCUCCAAACCUCUGCUGCCUUGGGGGAUGAAGUCAAGAGAACUCCUGGCUCUGUGCUCCCCUGUGGCUGACACGCUCCACAGGUGUCGGCCACCUGACAGCGUUACUGCCCAUCGCCUGGCAGAGGAGUAAAGACCUGCUCCAGUUCAUCCUAGCAUAUCUGAGAUCUUCAAACAUUAACCAGGUUAACUGUGAAACAUCCUCAGGGAGUUCCUUCAGGUUUCCAGAAGGCAUUAUUUCAUAGGAGAUGACAGCUCCGUGCCUGUUACUGCCCCCGAAGACCUUCAGUGGGAAAAGAUGUGGAGGUGGAGAACAGUGAUGCUGAUGAUCCUGACCCUGCUUAGGCUUAAGUGAAUGGUCUCUCACUGUCACCCAGGCUGGAGUGCAGUGGCGUAAUCACGGCUCACUGUAGCUUCGACCUCCUGGGCUCCACUGAUCAUCACACCUCAGGAGGACAUCAGCACUCCAGACAGACAUCAGGCCCCAGGUGGACAGCAGGCCCAUGUUGAACACCAGACUCAUGUGGACAUCAGGCUGCAGGGAGACACCAUGCCUUAUAGAUAAGUAGGGUCCAGGUGGAAUUAGACCCAAGGUACACACCCAGUCCCCAGGUGAUCACUAGGACCAGGUGAAGACUCGGGACUUAGGUGCACAUCCAGCCUUAAGUGGAUACCCAGGCCCCAGGCUGAUACCUAGGUCCCAGGUGAUCACCAGAACUCAAGUGGACACCAGGCUUCAGGUGAACAAGACCCAGUAGGCCCUCAGGCCCCAGCUGGAUAUCAGUCCCCAGGUGAACACAAGGCCCAAGUGAGACAUAGGCUCAAGGCAGACAUCAGGCCAUAGGUGGAAAUCAGGCCUCAGGAGGACAUCUGGCCUCUGGUGAACAUAUCAGGCGUAGAUGUCCAAGCACACCCUGGGUGGACUUAACUGUAUACAGGCAAGGAGUUGACCUGGGGGAGAGAGUAAGCAGUCAGCAGCCCACUGGAGUCCUGGGUAGGCCUUAUGGAAGGAAGGGGCCGAAAAAACGAAACCCUAAAGAAUUGACCUCACUUCCUUGACGACAGACCCAAACAGAACUCAGAACUCUGGUAACCAGGCGCCCAUAUCCUGGAGUCAGCCCUGUAGCCAGCUCACUUGGUGGCAGACACUCAAGAGAGCAAGAUGUUCUCAUGCUACAUUCCCACAAAUCGAGGCUCCUGCUUCAAAAAUGGCGGGAGUGAGAGCCUUUUCCGUCGCUGCCGACAAAGGCUCAUCCCUCACCCCAGGCGCCUGUGGCCUUUUGGACACAGGCGCACCCAGGUGCCACAGGGCAGCCCACGGCAGACCCUCGCAAGCCAGGUCUCACUAGAUAGCAUAUCGGAUCCGUAUCUGAAUACUGUCCUUGUCCAGCAGGCAAUUCUGAAGCACAUGGAGGCACAGGCACAUGCUCCUGAAGUACAAGAACUUGAAAUACAAGAACUUCCAGCACCAGCUGUCCAGCCAGAGCCAACUGUAUCAGAGGAGCCCCCCGCAGAGACAUCACCCCUCCUGCCCCUACAUUGGGGCAGCCAAGGACCAUCCCAGCGAGGAGCUGCCUGACGGCCUGCCACCUGCUGCCACCACUGGCCUCAGAGAGGGGGUGGCCAGCACAGCCCCAGCCAGCAGCUCCAACACUGCCCCUAGUCCUGGGCACCCUGGGAGCCAUGGAGGCGGAAACCAGGGUGUGCAGCCUGGGCUCCUCUCCCUCACUGGAGAGAGGCUUCUCUCAUUCAUAAGAGCCACAGUCCUGCUGCUGCAGGAACGCUUCCUUCUGCUGGUGCUGGUGGUAUCUGCAUGGAUGAGGCGCCUGAGAUCAGGAAAAGAAGCCUUCAAGGAAGGGUUCUAGCAGCUCCUCCUGCUCACAGAGGCAGCCUCCUCCUCCAGGCCUGAAGGUCUCUCCACAAGUGGGCAUCUGGGCUGUUUGCCCUGAAAUCCCACCCAGGAUGGCCUCUUCUUAACAGAUGGGCAGGGGGUGAGGGGACCAAGGGGUGAGUCCAACAGGUACAGAAAACAAACCUUCCCAACUCUUGUGCCCUGGGCUCUCCAUGUUGACACCUGCCCUGGCUGGGUUUUCUUCAUAGCUCUAGAAUUAGCAGUUUAUGAAAUAAACUUUUAAAUAAAGUUUGGCUUUUGGAAACUUCACGUCUUUUUUUAACUCUAUAAUGUUAAAUCAUGUUUUUGAGGCUAUCCUGAAAAUCUCUGAUAGUUGUCUUUUUGUUGUGGCUGUUUGGGAGAAUUACCAUUGAAUCAGCUGCUACUAGAAACCUUUCAGGUAUAGCUUUUAGAAGCUCCUGACUUACUUUUGCCUGUUUUGACUCUCUGGUUUAUUGUGGAGAGAGGAAUAAUGUAGUUUCAUUUAUCCGGCAGAUCAAUCAUGUUUGCUGUUAAGAACCUGGCAUUGGCUGGGCGCGGUGGCU